AGUGAACGCUGGCGGCAGGCCUAACACAUGCAAGUCGAGCGGCAGCGCGGGGGCAACCCUGGCGGCGAGCGGCGGACGGGUGAGGAAUGCGUCGGAAUCUGCCUCUUUGUGGGGGAUAACGUAGGGAAACUUACGCUAAUACCGCAUACGACCUACGGGUGAAAGUGGGGGACCUUCGGGCCUCACGCAGAGAGAUGAGCCGACGCCGGAUUAGCUAGUUGGCGGGGUAAAGGACCACCAAGGCGACGAUCCGUAGAUGGUCUGAGAGGAUGAUCAGCCACGCUGGAACUGAGACACGGUCCAGACUCCUACGGGAGGCAGCAGUGGGGAAUAUUGGAAAAUGGGCGCAAGCCUGAUCCAGCCAUGCCGCGUGUGUGAAGAAGGCCUUCGGGUUGUAAAGCACUUUUGUCCGGAAAGAAAAGCUUCCGAUUAAUACUCGGGAGUCAUGACGGUACCGGAAGAAUAAGCACCGGCUAACUUCGUGCCAGCCGCCGCAGUAACAC
rnacentral:rRNA from 1 species